AGAUGAUCUGACGCAGAGACGGAGGCACAGAUUGAGCAGGACCUUCAGAUCCUCAGCGUCUCUGCUGGAGAAGCUUCAUCUUCUUCUGUCAACGCUGUAGAAUGGCACAGAAAGCAGACAGAACUCCGUCUACAGAGAGCUCAUCAGCUGAUGGCUCUGCCCCCAAAUCUGCCCUCCGCAAGAUGGCGUCCAGUGACGCCUCCAAGAAGAAGAUAUGCAAGAAAUCUAACGAGGAUGCCAUGAACAAAGUGUACACUAACCUGCUGAGCAGCAUCUUCGGACAGGAGCGAGAGCUGUCUCAGCCAGAGCUGGAUGAGCUGGCCGAGGCCUUCAAGGAGUUCGAUUACGAUCAGGACGGCUAUCUGAACUAUAAGGAUCUGGCCGAGUGCAUGCGGACGAUGGGCUACAUGCCCACAGAGAUGGAGCUGCUGGAGAUCAUCCAGCAGAUCAAGAUGAGGCUUGGAGGCCUGAUGGAUUUUGAUGAUUUCUGUGAGUUGAUGGGUCCCAGGAUGAUGGUGGAGACGGCGGAUAUGCUGGGACUCAAAGAGAUCAAAAGCUCCUUCUGUCAGUUUGACACUGACGGUGAUGGGAAGAUCUCUCUGGAUGAGAUGAAGGAGGCUUUGAAGACUCUGUUAGGAGAGAAACUCAAGAAAGGAGAGCUGGAGGAGAUCCUGAAGGAGCUGGACCUGAACGGAGACGGAACCGUGGAUUUCGACGAGUUUGUGAUGAUGCUGUCGGUGCGAUAACACCCUCCUCUACUGACGAUACGGAACAACUGGAAACAUCUGGGCUCUUUAUAACUGUGAUUUCCAGGUCAAAUCAUGAAAGUCGUUCCUGUGGUUUACAGCAGCGUCAUGGAAAGAGUCCGGAGGAAGCUCUUAACCUUUACCUGGAAACACGAGAGCGCAAGAUUAUCUCCAGCAGAACAUGAUGAACACAAACAGCACAGGGCCCCGGAUCCUUCACUGACCCCUGCAGCUGUAGUCGGUGAGGAGCUGGGUUUAUGGACGAGCUGAAGAGCGAGCGUGUUCAGAGGAUGAGGUUCUGCUGAGGUUUCAUUGGCGAAGAGGGCUUUAUAUCGGACUGAAUCAGGAUCAGAUCGAUGGAGGUGAUGCCAGAACUGAACACAUCUCUUCUGGAUCUCAAUGUUCAGUGGGUAUAAGCCUAAUUCAGCUCUGCAGGCAUCACUGGACGGACCUCUACCCCUAAAAUGUUUUUGAUAAAUUCUAGUUGUAGUUUUUCUAUUGAAGUUUUAUCCCAAUUUUUAAAAUGUAUUAUUGGUCCCCAAAUUUCACUCCCGUACAGUAGAAUUUGUUUAAUGAUUGAGUGAUAUAAUUUGAUCCAUGUUUUAAUUGGCCAAACCGUGAUUUGAUGGCAUAAAAUGCCCUCCGGGCGUCUCAUUCAGGGCCUUCACAGCCGGACCGAAGCCCCCUGAUGCAGAGAUCUCGAGGCCCAGGUAAGUGCAGCUGCUGCUGAGCUCGAGGACUGAACUGAGACCUGGCCUUCUUCUGGAGCACCGUGACUCUGGUUUUGUCCAGGUUGACCGUCAGAGCCCGUUCCUCACAGUACUGUUCCAGCAGGGCCCGGCUGCGCUGGAGACCCUCGGCUGCGGGGGACAGCAGAACCAGGUCUUCAGAGUCGUGCGGAGCGAGCAGAGGUGGGUAGUAACGAGUUACAUUUACUUCGUUACAUUUACUUGAGUAAUUUUUUUGGGUAA